ensembl:snRNA U7 U7 small nuclear RNA
AAGUGGCACAGCUCUUCCAGAAUCUGUCUAGCAGGCUUUCUGGGUUUUGCUGGAAAGCCCCU